ensembl:misc_RNA predicted gene, 27801
GUGAGGGGCUGGGCGAAAGAAGGGAGGGGAGAGGAUGGGGAAACGCGCGCCCCAAGAGCGAAAGCAAACAGCCAGCUAGGGAGGCGCUGCCGGCAGCUCAAGCUUCCCAACAGGUUAGCUAGACUGGGAUCCACCCGGUAUUUCGCAGGAAGGGGGGGGUCGGGGGGGGGAGAGACGGAGCGAGAGGAAGAGAGAGCCUAACUGGAAGACAGAGGGAGGGAGGGAAAGAG